rnacentral:rRNA from 1 species
AGAUUGAACGCUGGCGGCAUGCUUUACACAUGCAAGUCGAACGGUAACAGGCCGCAAGGUGCUGACGAGUGGCGAACGGGUGAGUAAUGCAUCGGAACGUGCCCAGUCGUGGGGGAUAACGCAGCGAAAGCUGUGCUAAUACCGCAUACGAUCUAUGGAUGAAAGCGGGGGACCGAAAGGCCUCGCGCGAUUGGAGCGGCCGAUGUCAGAUUAGCUAGUUGGUGGGGUAAAGGCCCACCAAGGCGACGAUCGUGUAGCUGGUCUGGAGAGGACGACCAGCCACACGUGGAAACUGGACGACACGGUACCAGACUCCGACGGGAGCAGCAGGUGGGGUAAUUUUAGGAC